rnacentral:tRNA from 1 species
AUAAAUAUGGCGAAAUGUUAAACGCACUAAAGUUAGAAUUUAGUUAUUUAAGAGUUCAAAUCUCUUUAUUUAUA